AGUGAACGCUGGCGGUAGGCCUAACACAUGCAAGUCGAACGGCAGCACAGUAAGAGCUUGCUCUUACGGGUGGCGAGUGGCGGACGGGUGAGGAAUACAUCGGAAUCUACUUUUUCGUGGGGGAUAACGUAGGGAAACUUACGCUAAUACCGCAUACGACCUACGGGUGAAAGCAGGGGAUCUUCGGACCUUGCGCGAUUGAAUGAGCCGAUGUCGGAUUAGCUAGUUGGCGGGGUAAAGGCCCACCAAGGCGACGAUCCGUAGCUGGUCUGAGAGGAUGAUCAGCCACACUGGAACUGAGACACGGUCCAGACUCCUACGGGAGGAAGCAGUGGGGAAUAUUGGACAAUGGGCGCAAGCCUGAUCCAGCCAUACCGCGUGGGUGAAGAAGGCCUUCGGGUUGUAAAGCCCUUUUGUUGGGAAAGAAAAGCAGCAGGUUAAUACCCCGCUGUUCUGACGGUACCCAAAGAAUAAGCAUCGGCUAACUUCGUG
rnacentral:rRNA from 1 species